GUCGGCAUGAUCCACGGCCCUCGGGCUCUGCAGGCUCAGGGCCUGGUGAAAACCCGGACCCCCGUGUGCUCGGGGUCUCUCGCUGCCCCUGGUGCUGGGGGCUGCAGUGGGAGGGAGGAGCACCCCAUCCGACCCUCCACACCCACGAGACAGACGUUUCAUUAUCUCGCACUCGACGGUUUUGACUGCUUGCCUGAGAAAGUUCUGUUUUUCCAGGUAUUGUCCCUAGAAUUAGGAUUGGACCUGGGCUUGGCUGUGAUGAACAGAAACUUUAAACAACCGCGGGUUCAACAGAAAAGACUCCUAUUUGUCUUUCACGGUCGACAGUCCAGAGGGAGGCUGGACUAGUGUGGGGGCUCCCUAUGGUGCCAGAGGCCCGGGUCCUUCCUGUCGUUUCUCUGUUCUACAUGGUUUCUUCCUCAGGGUCACCACGUGGGCCAGUGUGGCUGCUGGAGGCCAGCCAUUGCACCUUCAUCCCAGCUAGCGGAAGGGAGUGUGGGGGAGAAGAGCACCCUUUCCCCUAACACACACACACACACACACACACACACACACACACACACACACUAGCACACCUGUGGUGUCUGCUUACAUCCGUAGGCCCCAGUCACAUUCUGUAGGGACGACUGGGAAAUGGAGUCUUUAUACUGGGUGCCCAUGCUUGGCUAAUCCAGGGGUUUGUCUCUAAGAAAGCAGGGGACAGGCUCCUGGGGGACCAAGCUGGCCUGGGCUCUGCUCCCAGCAAGACCGACAGGCCCUGGGUGACACUGGCCACCAGAGUCAGAAUAAGUAGAGCAGGGGCAGGACAGGUGUUUGAGGGUCUGUCCUCCCCAACAACGCCCAGAGCUUUCGCUGCCCUCUCCGUGCCCGGCCCAUGCAGCCACAUGCCCGCUUGGGCCUGCACCUCAUUCUCUGCUCUGUGCACGUCACCCAAUCCCAUGAGGGGUAUCACCAAUCACCCCAUUAUGCAGGGGUGAUCCAUGGCACAGAGCGCUUGGGUGCCCCCAGUUCGAGGUAAGCGGAGGGGCAGGAUGUGGCCCCGAGCCUUCCUGGGGAUGUGGCUGGAGCACGUGCAGAGCUGGGCCCUAACUGAGCUGCCCUCUUGGGUCCCCUCAACAUAGCUGCCUUGGUUUCUAUCUGUGUAUCAUCCCACCUCCGCCCAGGACCAGAUGAGCCGGGCACACCUGGGUCCCAUGGGCACCUUGUCUGAUCCCAGGGAUGGUGCAGCUCUGCCGUGGAGAUGCAGGGCUGCAGGUGGCUGAGGCAGCCAGCAGCUUGAUGGUGGGCAGGUGGCAUCCAGAACUGUGUCCCCAGCUGUGGGGUGGGGUGCUGUGGACAGGGCAGGGGGACCGAGGGCCCCGUGGCUCUGGGCUCAGGUGAAGGGCCACUGCAGAGCUCUGGGGGCUGAGUUGUCCCUCCCAUGGGUGCCGGCUGAGGGGCAUGGAUAGGGGGCCUGUUGCCCACCACUGGAGCCUGCUUACCACGGAGGCCCCUCCCCCGUUCUCUGGACAAGUCCCCAAGAGGGCAGGGAGGUGGUGACAGCACAUUGCCCAGCGCUGGUGGGGCCCCACACAGGCACAGGUGCCCCCACAGACACCCUGCCCUGCUUGCUGUCACCCAUGUCCCCCUGGGUUCCAUCACAUAGGGCAGAUUGCAGGUACCUCUCUGUCCAAGAUUGCGCGGGCACAGGGGACCCGGGGUGUGUGCGGCGGCUGCAGGGCUCAGAGGGGACUGUGGUCAGUGGUGUGACAGGACACAUUGUAGGCAGGAGCUCUGGGCAGGGGCAGGAGGCCCAGCUCUGGAGGGGGGAGGGCUCCUUCAGUCCCCACCCCAGGUAGACACCCCUCUCGCACCCAGAGGAGGCUGCCUGAGGAGCAGAGCUCCGACUGACCC